CAGGCCUUGACAUCCAAUGAACUUUCCAGAGAUGGAUUGGUGCCUUCGGGAACAUUGAGACAGGUGCUGCAUGGCUGUCGCCAGCUCGUGUCGUGAGAUGUUGGGUUAAGUCCCGUAACGAGCGCAACCCUUGUCCUUAGUUACCAGCACGUUAUGGUGGGCACUCUAAGGAGACUGCCGGUGACAAACCGGAGGAAGGUGGGGAUGACGUCAAGUCAUCAUGGCCCUUACGGCCUGGGCUACACACGUGCUACAAUGGUCGGUACAGAGGGUUGCCAAGCCGCGAGGUGGAGCUAAUCCCACAAAACCGAUCGUAGUCCGGAUCGCAGUCUGCAACUCGACUGCGUGAAGUCGGAAUCGCUAGUAAUCGCGAAUCAGAAUGUCGCGGUGAAUACGUUCCC
rnacentral:rRNA from 1 species